UGGAAAUGAUGACUGAAAUAUCUGACAAACACUGAUGUUAACACUAAUAUUUAAGAUAGUCAAGUUCUGAUCCAG